CAGGCGUUUGAGGAUCAUUGCGUCGCCGAUGUCCGUCACCUGUGGGGUCAUGUUAGGUUAGGUUAAGUUAGGAUGUGUCAAAUAAUUAUAUAGGGUUUUUUAAGGGGUCACGUUAGGUUAGGUUAGGUUAGGGUGUGUCAAAUGAUUAUAUAUGGUUUUUUAAGGGUUUACAGAAGGUUAGGUUAGGUUAAAGUGUGUCAAAUAGGGUUUUUAAGAGUCUGUAGAAGGUUAGGUUAGGUUAGGCUGCUCUAAAACUUCAAAAUUCCAAAGACUACACACACACACACCUCACAAACCCUAAUGAACUUGAAAAAAAAAAAAAAAAGAUUCACAACACACACACACACACACACACACACACACACA